GCGCCCAUAGCUCAAUUGGAUAGAGCAUCUGGCUACGGACCAGAAGGUUCCAGGUUCGACUCCUGGUGGGCGUA
rnacentral:tRNA from 1 species